ACGAACGCUGGCGGCGUGCUUAACACAUGCAAGUCGAACGGAAAGGCCCUUCGGGGUACUCGAGUGGCGAACGGGUGAGUAACACGUGGGUGAUCUGCCCUGCACUUUGGGAUAAGCCUGGGAAACUGGGUCUAAUACCGAAUAUGAUCAUGCGCUUCAUGGCGUGUGGUGGAAAGCUUUUGCGGUGUGGGAUGGGCCCGCGGCCUAUCAGCUUGUUGGUGGGGUAAUGGCCUACCAAGGCGACGACGGGUAGCCG
rnacentral:rRNA from 2 species